rnacentral:rRNA from 1 species
GGGCCCGCACAAGCAGUGGAGCAUGUGGUUUAAUUCGAUGCAACGCGAAGAACCUUACCAGGGUUUGACAUCCUGCGAAUCUCUUGGAAACGAGAGAGUGCCUUCGGGAACGCAGUGACAGGUGGUGCAUGGCUGUCGUCAGCUCGUGUCGUGAGAUGUUGGGUUAAGUCCCGCAACGAGCGCAACCCACGUCUUUAGUUGCCAGCAUUUAGUUGGGCACUCUAGAGAGACCGCCGGUGAUAAACCGGAGGAAGGUGUGGAUGACGUCAAGUCAUCAUGCCCCUUACAUCCUGGGCUACACACGUACUACAAUGCUACGGACAAAGGGCAGCAAGUUCGCGAGGACAAGCA